UACGAAGGGGGCAAGCGUUGUUCGGAAUUACUGGGCGUAAAGGGCGCGUAGGCGGCCGAUCAAGUCAGGCGUGAAAUUCCCGGGCUCAACCUGGGGGCUGCGCUUGAUACUGACUGGCUUGAAUGCGGGAGAGGAUAGUGGAAUUCCCAGUGUAGAGGUGAAAUUCGUAGAUAUUGGGAAGAACACCGGUGGCGAAGGCGGCUAUCUGGCCCGUAAUUGACGCUGAGGCGCGAAAGCGUGGGGAGCAAACAGG
rnacentral:rRNA from 1 species